rnacentral:ncRNA from 1 species
AUUCUUCGGGGCAGGGUGAAAUUCCCGACCGGCGGUAAAAGUCCGCGACUCUCGCCUGUGGCGAGACUGAUUUGGUGAAACUCCAAAACCGACAGUACAGUCUGGAUGAAAGAAGAG